GUCACAGGGCCCUUCAACCACCCCAUCCCAGACAGGUUCAACCCACCUGCUCUGCUCAGAGGUACUGCGUGCCUCAGCCCAUUUUAUCUCUUUUGAUGCCCGUGAGGAGAAGUGGCACCAUGUGGCAGGGAAUGCCUUCACCAUUCCAGGGAGAACAUGCAUUUUGCUCAUUCUCUAGCUGGGGUUUGAAGACUUGUGCUGGAAGGCUGUGGUGAGAUUUCCCAAGCAAAUGCAGAUUUCCCAAGCAAAAGACAAAUGGGCACUGGGCCAUGCUUACUCUUUAGAGAUGCACGUUCAGGAUUUGCAAAGUGGUUUGGAGUCCCCUGAGAUGAAAGCUAAUGUAAAACGUGACAGUUAUUACUAUAAACUCACUCAGCAAACUUGAACUCGCCCAAAUGUCUAUUCAUAAGCUUAUAAGAAAUCAAUUCCAAAUAAUUGCAUUAUGCCCUUUGUAUUAGUGGAUUUUCUGCCAGUAAUUGAAUUUAUAGAAAAAGACAUCUAUCAGCUUAACAAGGAGUUACACCCAGCCCACUGCUAGGGAAAUUACAAGAGUCUGUGUGUGAAAGUAUCUUUAACAGAAUGGUUUUAAAUGGAAAGCAGCCCUAACAAUGCUGUAAUUAUAAGCAUCCCCUCUGGCUAAUCCAGCUAACAAAGUAUUUAAUGCUGAAUGAGUUUUCAUCUAGGAUUCAGAAGUGUCCUAGAGGAAGCUGAAGUGAGAAUGUGCAGGUUUGCUUAGGAUUAGAUCUGUAAAGGUUUGUAGGUGUUCGCUGUUCUGGAGCUGGAAUGCCAGACUGUCACCUCCCUGAUGGAUGCUGGGACGCACAGGGAACAUCACCAUUCAUCUCACCGGAAUCCCCAAAGUGCUGAACCUUCUGCCUGCAGACGUGCACAUACCAGCUGAAGUCUGAAUGGCUGUGAGCAGCUCAGAGCCCAUCAGAUCUGCAGCUGGAGGACUUUAGGAGACUUGUGCAAGCCUCAGCUUGGGGCUGCUCCUGCUUUAUGCCCAGGCGUUGCAGGCCAUAUGGGAAGGUUCAAGGUUCCAUCACUUGCUUGCGUUUCUUACACCUGCACAAUGGUGCUAUGAAGAUAUGUCGGCUGAGGAAUCACGCUCAGUAUCUCCA